rnacentral:rRNA from 1 species
GAUGCUGCGGCUGGGNCACCUCCUUAACAUGCAAGUCCAACGAUGAAGCCCUUCGGGGUGGAUUAGUGGCGAACGGGUGAGUAACACGUGGGCAAUCUGCCCUUCACUCUGGGACAAGCCCUGGAAACGGGGUCUAAUACCGGAUAAUACUCCUGCCUGCAUGGGCGGGGGUUGAAAGCUCCGGCGGUGAAGGAUGAGCCCGCGGCCUAUCAGCUUGUUGGUGGGGUAAUGGCCCACCAAGGCGACGACGGGUAGCCGGCCUGAGAGGGCGACCGGCCACACUGGGACUGAGACACGGCCCAGACUCCUACGGGAGGCAGCAGUGGGGAAUAUUGCACAAUGGGCGAAAGCCUGAUGCAGCGACGCCGCGUGAGGGAUGACGGCCUUCGGGUUGUAAACCUCUUUCAGCAGGGAAGAAGCGAAAGUGACGGUACCUGCAGAAGAAGCGCCGGCUAACUACGUGCCAGCAGCCGCGGUAAUACGUAGGGCGCAAGCGUUGUCCGGAAUUAUUGGGCGUAAAGAGCUCGUANGCGGCUUGUCACGUCGGAUGUGAAAGCCCGAGGCUUAACCUCGGGUCUGCAUUCGAUACGGGCUAGCUAGAGUGUGGUAGGGGAGAUCGGAAUUCCUGGUGUAGCGGUGAAAUGCGCAGAUAUCAGGAGGAACACCGGUGGCGAAGGCGGAUCUCUGGGCCAUUACUGACGCUGAGGAGCGAAAGCGUGGGGAGCGAACAGGAUAGAUACCCUGGUUAGUCCACGCCGUNAACGUUGGGAACUAGGUGUUNGCNACAUUUCACGUNGUCGGUGCCGCAGCUAACGCAUUAGUUCCCGGCUUGGGAGUNCGGCCCAAGGCUAAACNCAANGAUUGACGGGGCCCNCCAACNGNGGANCUGUNGNUNAUUCNCCNACGCNANAACUACAAGCUUGCUUCCGGAAUAUUAAAAAGNCCCCUGGGUCGNACCGUGGCUGGUNCCNNNNGUCCGAAAUGGUANCCACAGCACUNCUNUGCCNGCCUGGNAGGNNA